rnacentral:rRNA from 1 species
AGAUGCGAGAGUAGAGCAUAUCAAUAAGCGGAGGAAAAGAAACUAACUAAGGAUUCCCUUAGUAACGGCGAGUGAAGCGGGAAGAGCUCAAAUUUGAAAUCUUCAAGGUUCUACCUUGACGAAUUGUAGUUUAAAGAAGUGUUUUCUGUUAGAUGAGUAGCAAAAGUUCCUUGGAAUGGGACAUCAUAGAGGGUGAGAAUCCCGUAUUUGGUUAUUCAUUCUAGCUUUGUGAUACACUUUCGAAGAGUCGGAUUGUUUGGGAAUGCAGUCCAAAAUGGGUGGUAAAUUUCAUCUAAAGCUAAAUAUUGGCGAGAGACCGAUAGCGAACAAGUACCGUGAGGGAAAGAUGAAAAGAACUUUGAAAAGAGAGUUAAACAGUACGUGAAAUUGUCAAAAGGGAAGCGUUUGACACCAGUGUUGUUUUUCCGAAAAUCAAUUACGAAUGGCUUGAUUUUGUGUUGUAUUGACCUUAUCAGCUUUCUUCACUUUUUUCGAGUCUUUCUUAAUGCACUUUUCGGUUAACAAGUCAACAUCAAUUUCUUUUGUUGUAAAAGAGUAUUCGGAAGGUGGCUUUCUUUUCGGAGAAAGUGUUUAUAGCCCUAUACUUCUACAAUCGGAGAGAUUGAGGUCUGCAGCGUAGAUCCUUCGGGGUUAGAUACACUUGUGCUAAGUUGUAGCUUUUCAUAGACAACUUGUUGACUAUGUUUAGUCAUGCGGCUUACUCGCUUGUGCUAUUUUACCUACGCUUAGGAUGUUGAGCGCAUGUCUCUCUCU